rnacentral:rRNA from 1 species
GUGCCAGCCGCCGCGGUAAUACCGGCAGCACGAGUGAUGACCGCUAUUAUUGGGCCUAAAGCGUCCGUAGCUGGCCGCGCAAGUCUGUCGGGAAAUCCACCCGCUUAACGGGUGGGCGUCCGGCGGAAACUGUGCGGCUUGGGACAGGAAGGCGCGACGGGUACGUCCGGGGUAGGAGUGAAAUCCUGUAAUCCUGGACGGACCGCCGAUGGCGAAAGCACGUCGCGAGGACGGAUCCGACAGUGAGGGACGAAAGCCAGGGCCUCGAACCGGAUUAGAAACCCCCGUAGUCC